ACCAUUCAACCAGUGACUCACAGUGCAAAACGAUAGACAAUUAAAUUAACUCAGUACGAUCAACAAGUGACAAGGUGUUUUGUAAAGUUGACAAGAUUUGAUCUUAUGGAGAAAGUGGAGAAACGGGAGAGAUCUCCAAGUGCGGAAGAUUUUUGAGAAGGAGAAAGAAGAUAUUCUAAAUGAUCUGUGGAGAAUAUCGAGGAAAACGAGGGGAUCGUCAAAGAUUUCAAGGGCAUCUGACCGAGCUGAUGUAAACACAUAGAGAUUUGGAGCAAGAAGUUGAAUCAGCUGACAAAAGACUCGAGGACUUUAGAGGAGAUUUCGAGAAGAAAUCUAUAUAGAGAAAAGUAUUUAUUAAAAUUCACUCUAAACUCUACUUUGGUAAAGAAAUAUAACAAUUCAAGUAAAAGUUCCAAUAUUUUUUGGGAAAUUUUAUCCAAUGUAUUGUAUAAAUCGGUAAUGAAUUAUCAAACUGAGAGAAGUGAUUUUCUCUUAGAAUUCAUUAUCGAUGAAUAUCUCCUAAAUGAAGAUAGAGAGCGAAAUCUUUAUAGAAACUGUUUGAAACGCACCUAUCAGUUAAACGGUCUGUCCAACCGACUAUCCUCGAGCACCAUCGGGAACCUUCGGGUGGAGCGGUCAGGCGAUCGCGAAACUCCCAAAAAGUAGUUGAACUCUAGCUAUUGAGUAGAUCGCACGCGUAUUCAAUUUAAAUACUUUCGUUCAGUACAUCACCACGAUAAUUAUUUCAGUCCAAUUAAUUUCAGUGACUCAACUUAGUUCCACUUUAAAGACUAUCAACAUUUAUAAUUGUGCCAAAGAUUGUAUAACCGAUAUUAACGAAGUGGUUCAAUCCCACUAAUAAACGGGAAUUUUAUAA